UGCCUUUCUUCCACCACAUUUGCUAGAACCAAAUUUGUUAUUCCCAACAUGGUUUCACCAAUAACAGACACAGAGCUGUGCAGUUCUGGAUCGAUGGAUGCUGAAUUCUCUUGAGCAUAGGAGGAAACAGCAAACUCUCAGGGGGUGACAGUCUCUUGCCUGCUUAUCCUGGUGCUUGCCUGCUGUUUGCAGCAAAUACUUCAGAAUACCGAGAAAAUGUCUUGGUUACCUCAAGCACUGGU
rnacentral:lncRNA from 1 species